rnacentral:rRNA from 1 species
GGAGUAAAGCAGGGGAUCGAAAGACCUUGCGCUUAAGGAGCGGCCGAUGUCUGAUUAGCUAGUUGGUGGGGUAAAGGCCUACCAAGGCGACGAUCAGUAGUUGGUCUGAGAGGACGACCAACCACACUGGGACUGAGACACGGCCCAGACUCCUACGGGAGGCAGCAGUGGGGAAUUUUGGACAAUGGGCGCAAGCCUGAUCCAGCCAUGCCGCGUGAGUGAAGAAGGCCUUCGGGUUGUAAAGCUCUUUCAGUUGGGAAGAAACGAUUGCAACUAAUAAUUGUAAUUAAUGACGGUACCGACA